rnacentral:rRNA from 1 species
UACCAGCACCCCGAGUGGUCGGGGCGAUUAUUGGGCCUAAAGCAUCCGUAGCCGGCCUUACAAGUCCUCCGUUAAAUCCAGCUGCUUAACAGAUGGGCUGCGGAGGAUACUAUAAGACUAGGAGGCAGGAGAGGCAAGCGGUACUCAGUGGGUAGGGGUAAAAUCCGUUGAUCCAUUGAAGACCACCAGUGGCGAAGGCGGCUUGCCAGAAUGCGCUCGACGGUGAGGAUGAAAGCUGGGGGAGCAACGGG